rnacentral:rRNA from 1 species
CCCUUAGAUGUUCUGGGCAGCACGCGCGCUACAAUGGUCUUCGCAAACGGAUGCAUUCUCGAAGGAGAAUGCCAACCUUGGAAUCUAUGCCUUGGUCGGGACAGUUGCUUGCAAUUUUUCGACUCGAACCAGGAAUUCCUUGUAAUCGUGAUUCAUCACAUCACGAUGAAUACGUCCCUGCCCUUUGUACACACCGCCCGUCGCUCCUACCGAUCGAAGAGUUAGGUGAAUUGUUUUGAUCGAUAAGAUUUGACUAUGGUCAACUCUCGUUGUGAAAUUCUGUGAAUCUGACUGUUUAGAGGAAGGAAAAGUCGUAACA